CACUAACAUGUCUCGCUAACACACAAUCCCCACUCACCAGAACCACGAGAACCGGUUUCCUAAAACCGAUUACCGAACAAGCCGGAAGUUUCGAAAACCGCACCGGAAUUCCACUAUCGCUCACCUGUCGUUUUCGAACCCUCGAAACGACGCGGUGACCAGCCAAUAAGGCUCAGCGAUGCUACAAUCAACCACGAGGCACCGUCGGAUGAAUUCCGAACCGAAACCGCGUUCUAUCGGCGGAUUUCGCCGAAAAACGCAUCGAAAAUCACUUUCGAUUUCCGCAAG
rnacentral:lncRNA from 1 species